UUGAUCCUGGCUCAGGACGAACGCUGGCGGCACGCUUAACACAUGCAAGUCGAACGAGAGAAGAGAAGCUUGCUUUUCUGAUCUAGUGGCGGACGGGUGAGUAACACGUGAGCAAUCUGCCUUUCAGAGGGGGAUACCGAUUGGAAACGAUCGUUAAUACCGCAUAACAUAAUUGAACCGCAUGAUUUGAUUAUCAAAGAUUUAUCGCUGAAAGAUGAGCUCGCGUCUGAUUAGCUAGUUGGUAAGGUAACGGCUUACCAAGGCGACGAUCAGUAGCCGGACUGAGAGGUUGAUCGGCCACAUUGGGACUGAGACACGGCCCAGACUCCUACGGGAGGCAGCAGUGGGGAAUAUUGCACAAUGGAGGAAACUCUGAUGCAGCGAUGCCGCGUGAGGGAAGAAGGUUUUAGGAUUGUAAACCUCUGUCUUCAGGGACGAAAAAAGACGGUACCUGAGGAGGAAGCUCCGGCUAACUACGUGCCAGCAGCCGCGGUAAUACGUAGGGAGCGAGCGUUGUCCGGAAUUACUGGGUGUAAAGGGAGCGUAGGCGGGAUCGCAAGUCAGAUGUGAAAACUAUGGGCUUAACCCAUAAACUGCAUUUGAAACUGUGGUUCUUGAGUGAAGUAGAGGUAAGCGGAAUUCCUAGUGUAGCGGUGAAAUGCGUAGAUAUUAGGAGGAACAUCAGUGGCGAAGGCGGCUUACUGGGCUUUAACUGACGCUGAGGCUCGAAAGCGUGGGGAGCAAACAGGAUUAGAUACCCUGGUAGUCCACGCCGUAAACGAUGAUUACUAGGUGUGGGGGGACUGACCCCUUCCGUGCCGCAGCAAACGCAAUAAGUAAUCCACCUGGGGAGUACGACCGCAAGGUUGAAACUCAAAGGAAUUGACGGGGACCCGCACAAGCAGUGGAGUAUGUGGAUUAAUUCGAAGCAACGCGAAGAACCUUACCAGGUCUUGACAUCGUAUGCAUAGCUCAGAGAUGAGUGAAAUCUCUUCGGAGACAUAUAGACAGGUGGUGCAUGGUUGUCGUCAGCUCGUGUCGUGAGAUGUUGGGUUAAGUCCCGCAACGAGCGCAACCCUUACUGUUAGUUGCUACGCAAGAGCACUCUAGCAGGACUGCCGUUGACAAAACGGAGGAAGGUGGGGAUGACGUCAAAUCAUCAUGCCCUUUAUGACCUGGGCCUCACACGUACUACAAUGGCUGUCAACAGAGGGAAGCAAAGCCGCGAGGUGGAGCAAACCCCUAAAAGCAGUCUUAGUUCGGAUUGUAGGCUGCAACCCGCCUACAUGAAGUCGGAAUUGCUAGUAAUCGCAGAUCAGCAUGCUGCGGUGAAUACGUUCCCGGGCCU
rnacentral:rRNA from 1 species